GCAGCUACCAAAACUUUGCCUACACUGUCCAUCUCUGUUCUCCGCUGUCCGUCACUGUAAGAGUGCUCUGCCAGAAGGCCAAGGAAAUAUUAAUGGAAGAAAGCAAUGUCCAGCCUGUAAAAAGCCCGGUAACUCUCUGUGGUGAUAUUCAUGGACAAUUCCAUGAUCUGGCGAAGCUUUUCCGCAUUGGAGGAAAGGCAUUAUUCUGAUUUG